AAAAGAAAAAAAACAAGAAAAUAACGAAUAAAAAUUGGAAACGCAUCGCGUCCCAGAUGAUGAUGACGAUACGUGACGACGAAUAAAUUGUUCUUCACGCCUGUUACUUCAAAACGAUUUGCAUAACGCGCGAAAACUUUAGCGUUAAAUUGAUAAAUUACGCCAGACGACGUACUCCGUAUAGUUAGAAUAAUGGAUGUUCAGAGAUACGCGGUUGACUUUAUUGUAUAGAAAAAAUACUUUUAAUACUUGUAUAUACAAUUGAGAACAUUAACAAUUUAAUAUACUAAAAAGAAGAGGAGGUAGGAAUGAGAUUUGAGUCA